GGGCGGUUGGCUCAGACGGCUAGAGCGCUACCUUCACACGGUAGAGGUCGGGGGUUCGAAUCCCUCACCGCCCA
rnacentral:tRNA from 1 species